GACGAGCUACACAAACGUUAUUCGGAAUUACUGGGCUUAAAGGGUGCGUAGGCUGCGCGGAAAGUUGGGUGUGAAAUCCCUCGGCUCAACCGAGGAACUGCGCCCAAAACUACCGUGCUCGAGGAAGAUAGAGGUGAGCGGAACUUACGGUGGAGCGGUGAAAUGCGUUGAUAUCGUAAGGAACACCCGUGGCGAAAGCGGCUCACUGGGUCUUUUCUGACGCUGAUGCACGAAAGCGUGGGGAGCAAACAGG
rnacentral:rRNA from 1 species